rnacentral:rRNA from 1 species
AUUGAACGCUGGCGGCGUGCUUUACACAUGCAAGUCGAACGGCAGCGCGGGCUUCGGCCUGGCGGCGAGUGGCGAACGGGUGAGUAAUGCAUCGGAACGUGCCCAGUAGUGGGGGAUAGGCCGGCGAAAGCCGGCUUAAUACCGCAUACGACCUGAGGGUGAAAGCGGGGGACCGAAAGGCCUCGCGCUAUUGGAGCGGCCGUUGUCGGAUUAGCUAGUUGGUGGGGUAAAGGCUUACCAAGGCGACGAUCCGUAGCUGGUCUGAGAGGACGACCAGCCACACUGGGACUGAGACACGGCCCAGACUCCUACGGGAGGCAGCAGUGGGGAAUUUUGGACAAUGGGGGCAACCCUGAUCCAGCCAUGCCGCGUGCGGGAAGAAGGCCUUCGGGUUGUAAACCGCUUUUGUUCGGGAAGAAAUCCUCUGGGCUAAUACCCCGGGGGGAUGACGGUACCGGAAGAAUAAGCACCGGCUAACUACGUG